rnacentral:rRNA from 1 species
UACGUAGGUGACAAGCGUUGUCCGGAUUUACUGGGCGUAAAGAGCGCGCAGGCGGUCGAUCAAGUCGAGUGUGAAAGCCCCCGGCUCAACUGGGGAGGGUCAUUCGAUACUGAUCGACUCGAAGGCAGGAGAGGGUAGUGGAAUUCCCGGUGUAGUGGUGAAAUGCGUAGAUAUCGGGAGGAACACCAGUGGCGAAGGCGGCGCUCUGGGCCGGUACUGACACUGAGGAGCGAAAGCGUGGGGAGCAAACAGG